rnacentral:lncRNA from 1 species
CACACCACCAUGCCCAGAUAAUUUGUGUAUUUUUAGUAGAUACAGAGUUUCACCAUCUUGGCCAGGAUGGUCUCCAUCCCCUGACCUCAUGAUCCACCCGCCUCGGCCUCCUAAAGUUCUGGGAUUACAGGUGUGAGCCACCGUGCCUAGCCAAAUUGUAUCUCUUUUUUUUUUUUUAAUUUUGCUUGUCAUCCUUUAAUGUGUAUGUCAUGAGCCAAAAACAAUCUUAAGGACUAUGGAGUAAUAGGAUUCAGGCAUAUCAAAUGUCCGAUGUACAUGCCACCAUUUAUGAAGAUUUUUAUCUUCUCCACAAAGCUGUUUGGUUUCUGGAAGAAGGGGAGGGUAUUUGAGCCUCUGUGACUUACACAUGGACAAGUAGAAAAGAGGGCAUAUUACAAGAGUGUACUAAAUAAAUACAUGGUUUAAAUAGUCCUUAUAGAGUUUGACCUGGUGAAUAUACAAAGUGAAUCAGAAGGGGAAGGUAAGAGAUGAGGUGGAAAGACUGUAGGCAGCAUAGUUAGUGGUUCAGAGCAAGGACCCUGGAGCCAGACUAACCAGCUUGAAUCUUGAUUCUGAUCCUUUGCUAGCUGUGGUAUCUUGAGAAUUUACUUUCUUUGCCUUGGUUUCUUCAUUAAUAAAAUGAGAAUAAUAAUUGUAUAUACCACAUUUUUAAUAGGAUUAAGUGAAUUGGUAUUUAUAAAAUGAUUAGACUAGUGUGUGGCCCCUACUAACUACAUGUUUAUUCAAUCAAUCAACCAAUAUAAUAAUUAGUGGGAUAUUAUAGUAGUAUUGAUGACUUGAACUUAAAUGAUGACAAUGGAAUGAGAAGUUGGGGGAACUUUUUGGACUUUUUUGAAUUAAUGAAUUCUAGCUUUCCAUCCAUGAAAUUGAUAUGGUUAUAAGAGCCUCUAAAAACUUUCCCUUCUAUGUGUCAGAUUAUAGGCUUAUUUUAUCUUUAUGACAUCCAGACAGGGAGCGUACAAUUUGAUGGGGUGUCUGUCCAUCUUGGUUCCCUUGAGUUCCCUUUUCUUAUAACAUAGGUAUUGUGGGAAAAUGUGGUCUUUGUGCCAAAUUGUUUAAAAGAAACGUUUGAGCCAAGAACAUUGUAAAAUUUCAGAAAAUAUUACAAAUCUUCAUGCCUGAAAUAAAGUAAUCGCAGUUAAUACAGAUAUAAAGCUACAUAGUUACCAUGUUUCCAGGAUAGCCAAUAAGAAAUUCUAGUGAUUGUGGGCUGGGCACAGUGGCUCAUGCCUGUAAUCCCAGCACUUUGGGAGGCUGAGGUGGGUGGAUCACGAGGUCAGGAAAUCCAAACUAUCCUGGCUAACAUGCUGAAACCCCGUCUCUACUAAAAAUACAAAAAAAUUAGCCAGGCGUGGUGGUGGGUGCCUGUAGUCCCAGCUACUCAGGAGGCCGAGGCAGU